rnacentral:misc_RNA from 1 species
AAGUCGUAACAAGGUCUCCGUUGGUGAACCAGCGGAGGGAUCAUUACCGAGUUUACAACUCCCAAACCCCUGUGAACAUACCUAUUGUUGCCUCGGCGGUGCCUGUUCCGACAGCCCGCCAGAGGACCCCAAACCCCGAUUACAUUAAAGAAUUCUUCUGAGUAACCGAUUAAAUAAAUCAAAACUUUCAACAACGGAUCUCUUGGUUCUG